rnacentral:misc_RNA from 1 species
GAAAUGCGAUAAGUAAUGUGAAUUGCAGAAUUCAGUGAAUCAUCGAAUCUUUGAACGCACAUUGCGCCCGCCAGUAUUCUGGCGGGCAUGCCUGUUCGAGCGUCAUUUCAACCAUCAAGCCCCCGGCUUGUGUUGGGGACCUGCGGCUGCCCGCAGGCCCUGAAAAACAGUGGCGGGCUCGCUUUCACACCGAGCGUAGUAGCAUACAUUCUCGCUCAGGGCGUGCUGCGGGUUCCGGCCGUUAAACGACCUUCAUAACCCAAGGUUGACCUCGGAUCAGGUAGGAAGACCCGCUGAACUUAAGC